rnacentral:misc_RNA from 1 species
AAGGAUCAUUACAGAGAACUUGCCCCCUGGGGUAGAUCUCCCACCCUUUGUUUACUUUACCUUUGUUGCUUUGGCAGGCCCGUCACAAGACCACUGGCUUAGGCUGGUCAGUGCCUGCCAGAGGACCCCCCAACCCUUAAUUUUAUGUCGUCUGAAUACUUCAAAAUAGUUAAAACUUUCAACAACGGAUCUCUUGGUUCUG